AGAAAUGUUUUCUGUGUUCACUAACAGCUUGCCUUUGUUUGAUUCCAGCUGCAGCAUAUCGUGAGUGAUGAGAUCCAUGUGCGGGUGACUGAUCUUUACCCGGCAGAAAAUAAUAAUGGGGCCACUGGAGCCCAGCCGAACACACAGAACUCAAGGAGCCUCCUGGAGUCAGCGUAUCAGUAGAAAGCCGAACAGCUAAUGUCAGAUGAGAAUUGCUUUAAGA
rnacentral:lncRNA from 1 species